CUGUGGAUAGGUCUCAUCUUGCUGGGGAUGAUGCAGACCCAGGCCCAAGGCCCAGGAAGGCAUGGGGUGCUCCCUCAAGUCCCAGGCCCCCUCUUGCUUUUCCACAAGAUCUGUCUCCUGCCCAGCCUGGGGAAGGACAGGGUGACUGGGAACCCAGGCCGGGCAGGCCCAGUUCGCAUGGGCAGGAGCGAGGAACGGGGAGCUGAGCCCAAUGCCAACCCUACACAGACUCCACAUUCUCCCGUGGCCCUUGGGACCCUCCAGGAUCCCACCCUAUGAACCACUGUCUCUGAAGGUCAGCCAGGCCAGGGCCUUGUCAGAAUCUGGGUCGGCCAGAAGACCACCGCCAGGACUGGCUGGCCAUGGCAGACUCAGCCCUCACCGCAUCCCAGCCGCGUCCCAGCUGGACUUGUGCAUCUCCUCACAGGCAUUCUCUCUCAUCUGCUCCCAGCACAAAUAAAC